UACAAAAAAUUAGCCAGGCGUGGUGGCGGGCGCCUGUAGUCCCAGCUACUCGGGAGGCUGAGGCAGGAUAAUGGCGUGAACCCAGGAGGCAGGGCUUGCAGUGAGCCGAGAUCGUGCCACUGCACUCCAGCCUGGGCGACAGAGCGAGACUCCGUCUCAAAAAAAAAAAAAAAAAAAAAAGAAAUGGAGUAUCAUGGACUAGGAUAGUAGCAGUAGAGAUGAGGGAAGUGGAUGGAUCCAAAAAGCUGACCUAUCUUGCUUACCAAUUAAAUGAGGAAAGGGAGGAAUCAAUAGUGAUGCCUAGGUUUGGGGCAUGUUGUCUAGGUGGAAUUAAUUUUAAUUACACUUUUAACCCCUAGCAUAUCCAAAUAUUAUUUCACAUGUGAUCAACAUAAAAAAUUACUAAAUAUUAAAAAUAUUUUACAUUAUCUUUCUCAUAACUAAGCAUUUGAAAUCUGGUGUGUAUUUUAUACUUAUAGCAUAUCUCAGUACUUGAUUUCAUAAAAUUUCCAGCUGAAAAAAUAGAUUCACGUACCCAAGUCGUUCCAAGCAUACUUAAAAGUUUUACGGUAAUCGAAUCGUGUAUAUUUUUAAAUUUUAUUUUAAAUUAAAGUUAGGAUUAUGAAUUCAGUUCCUAAAUUAGCCUCAUUUCACUUCUGCAUUUCAAGUGGGACAAGUUAUUACCAUAUUGGACAAUGCAGUCUAGUGAAGUAGAGGAUAGUGGAAAGUCAGACUUAAAAAGUUGUUUAGAACCAGCUCUGGAAGGCCUUGGAUGUCAGAUUAAAGGACUGAGAUUUUACCCUUGAGUCAGGCAGAAUAAUGGAUGGUUUUUGAACUAAGGAGUGACACAAGGUUGUGCUUAUGACUAGAAGGAGGCCACUAGGUGGCCAGCUGGUGAGUCAGGACACCCUUCAGUUGCUUUGACUUCAGCCCUGUGGAUUCAAAGUCUGAUUUUUGUCAGCGCUCUAGAGCAGUCUCACCAAAAGUGUGGUCCACAAGGCAGUGCCAGUCUGUAAGCCCUUUGUUACACAUCCAUGUCAAGGCAUUUACAGAAAGUAAGAAUUUAGAAACUUAUAGCAGUUUAACAGACUAAUUUUAUUUCUGUGGGUCUAAUAAAAAUUUGAGGGAUUGUACUUUGCAUAUUCUUUAUUUCCCUUUUUUUGUUUGUUUUUUGUGUUCGAGAUGGGAGUCUUUUUCUGUCGCCAGGCUGGAGUGCAGUGGUGCAGUCUCGGCUCACUGCAACCUCUGCCUCCUGGGUUCAAGCGAUUCUCCUGCCUCAGCCUCCCAAAUAGCUGGGAUUACAGGUGUGCACCACCACAUCCAGCUAAUUUUUGUAUUUUCAGUAGAGACGGGGUUUCACCAUGUUGGCCAGGAUGGUCUUCAUUGCCUGACCUUGUGAUCCGCCUGCCUCAGCCUCCCAAAGUGCUGGGAUUACAGGCGUAAGCCACCGUGCCCGGCCCUUUUUUCCUUUUUAGUUUAUUUUUUUCUUUUUUGAGACAGAGUUUCGCUCUUAUUGCCCAGGCUGGAGUGCAAUGGUGCGAUCUUGGCUCACCGCAACCUCUGCCUCCUGAGUUGAAGCGAUACUCCUACCUCAGCCUCCCAAGUAGCUGGGAUUACAAGCAUGCACCACCAUACCCUGCUAAUUUUGUAUUUUUAGUAGAGACGGGUUUCUCCAUGUUGGUCAGGCUGGUCUCGAACUCCCAACCUCAGGUGAUCUACCUGCCUUGGCCUCCCAAAGCGCUGGGAUUACAGGUGUGAGCCACUGCACCCGGCCGUUUUUUUCUUUUUCUAAUAAUUUUUAUCAUAUUACAUAAAAGUACCUAUGGUCUCACAGAUGAAGGGAGUCAGAAGAACCAAACUCCCAGAAGACAUAUAAAUCUAAAUGCCUUUUUUACUUUAGAGUGAAAACUGUAAUAGCUAAAUUAUAAUGGACAUCUGCUCAUUUUCUCCCUCCAUGUAGACAUGGAAAGCUACACGGAAAUAACCGAGUUUAUAGUAGCUACCAUAUAUUAAACGUUUCCUGUAUGCCAGCCACUGUGCAAAGCAUAUUAUAUAUAUUGUCUCAUUUAAUCCUCACAACUCUGUAAAAUAAGUAUUGUUUGCCCCAUUUUUCCAAUGAAGAAACCGAGGCUAAAAUAGGUUGAAUAACUUACCUAAAUUCACCAUCCUCAAAGGUGUUAAAGACAGGAUUCCAGUACAGGUCUCUCAUUUCCUUCAUGAUUAGGAAUACUACUUUGAAAUGAGAGACCUGUACUGUAUCUGUUAAUUCCAAAUUCCCUGGCAUAAAGACUCAGUACAUUGUUUAAAGAGAAUGCAUGAAGUUAACUGCAUUACCUUUUGGAGGGUUCAUUUGUGAAUUUGGGGCCAAAGUAAGGGGAGUUACUGGUAUUCUAAUAGCAUCAAACAAAUGAAUUCAUUUCAUCUUUUGGGGAGGUGGAGGGAAUAAGGUCUCACCUUGUCGCCCAUGCAGGCUGGAAGGCCGUGAUGUGAUCUCAGCUCACUGCAGCCUCAACCUGGGCUCAAGCGAUCCUCCCACCUCAGCCUCCUGAGUAGCUGGGACUACAGGUGCACACCACCACGCCCAGCUCAUUUUUGUAUGUUUUGUAGAGACUGUGUUUUGCCACGUUGCCCAGGCUAUUCUCAAACUCCUGAGCUCAAGUGAUCCUCCCACCUCAGCCUCCCAAAGUGCUGGGAUUACAGAUGUAAUCCACCACACCCAGCCAAAUGCAUUCAUGUCUACAAUAGAAAUACAUCUCUUUGCUGCUAUCUUGAAUUUGUAGACUCCCACAAAUCAAUAAAAAAGAAGACAUCCAAUAAAAAAAUGGGUAGAGGCCAGGCAGUGGCUAACACCUGUAAUCCAAGCACUUUAGGAGGCCCAGGCAGGCAGAUCACUUGAGGUCAGAAGUUCAAGACCAGCCUGGCCAACAUGACAAAACCCUGUCUCUACUAAAAAUAUAAAAAUUAGCCAGACGUAGUGGCACGUACCUGUAAUCACAACUACUCGGGAGGCUGAGACAGGAGAAUUGCUUGAACCCAGGAGGCAGAAGUUGCAGUGAGCCAAGAUCGUGCCACUGCACUCCAGCCUGGGCGACAAAGCAAGACUCCAUCUCAAAAAAAAAAAAAAAAAAAAAGGUAGAAACUUAAACAGUCACCUCACAAAAAAGGGUAUCUAAAUAUUAGUUUCUUAAAAAAUAUAAAAGGGGCGUGUAGAUGGCCGAUAAACAUGUAAAAGAUACUCAACUAAUUUAAUCAUUAGAGAAAUGCAAAUUAAAACCUAAAUGAUAUUUUAAUCUCACAUCCAACAGAAUGGCUAAAAUGGAAAACCCAGAAAAUGCCAGAUGUUGGUCAAGAGUUGGAGUAACUGAAACUACACAGCUGCUGGAAAUGUAUAUUGGUAUAACCACUUUGGAAAAUGGGAAGUUCAACAAACAGGCAAACCAAUCUAGAUUUAGGGAUAUAUGUUUAGGUAGUAAAAGUAUAAAGAAAAGAAAUAGUUAGCUUUGCAGGGAGUAGUGCUUGGGAGGUAAUAGGUGCUUCUGGAGUGCUGUUGAUGUUCUGUUCCUAAGUAGGGUGCUAUGGCUUGAGUUUGGUUUGUCUGACCCUACCAAGUCUCAUGUUAAAAUUUCAUCCCCAGUGUUGGAGGUGAGGCCUGGUGGGAAGGGUUGUGGGAGUGGAUUUCUCAUGAGUGGCUUCGUAUUCUGUAAGGAGUGAGUUCAUUAAGAGACUGGCACCUCCUCUCUCCUUUCUCUCGCCAUGUGAUCUCUGCAUAUGUCAUCUCCUGUCUGCCUUCCACCGUGAGCAGCCUGAAGCCCUCACUGGAAGCAGAUACUGCUACCAUGCUUCUUGUACAGCCUGCAAAACCGUGAGCCAAAUAAGCCGAACAUUCUAAGACACUGGGAUUACAUGAGUGUUAGCACUCUAUGACUUAAUGAGAAGUAGGUUUUUUGGAGAAAAAUGUACUUUCAGUAUGUAUAUUAUAUAUUUCAUGGUUAUUUUUAAAACUCGUGAGCAAUGCUGGAUACACACUACCAACUAUUACUUCCCUGACUGAGCCAAUUUUUCUGUAAAUGCAUCACAAAUGUGAAAGAUAAGGUAGGCCUGAAUUCUGGGGAAUGACAAUGGUGAAGGAAAGGCGAGACAGGUGCAAAAGACACUGCAGAACUCAGGCUCAAAAUCUCAUCCUUAACUCCUUCCCUCAUCCCACCAUGUUGAAUCAGAUGUCAAUAGCAAUUUUAUAUGGCAUUUUUUAAGCUUGCAAAAAGUUAUAAACAGAAAAUGUUCAUUUUAUCACUCCAUCACAGACGAAAAACAUGAAAUUAAGCUAGGAAACAUGUUCAGGUGAUUAGAGUAGAUAGAACAUAGACUAAAAACCAGUGAACUUAUAAAAAAAAAUCCCAUGAUGUGGACAAAAAAAAAGAACUUGUGGCUCCUCACUCCAACUCCUGUGACUCUCUCACCUUACCCCCACUGCCUUCAAGUUUUUUGUAGAAAGAGAAAUUUUGUAUGGAUUGAGUUUAAGAUGAUGCCAGAAUAUCAAGGUAGAAUUAUUAAACACACAAAAGCUAAGGUUUGGUACUCUGAAAAAAGGUCAGAAUUGGUGAUAGAAAAUUAGAAGUUACCCAUCCAUAGAAGGGUAAUAAAGCCAUGAGAGUGAAGGAAACCAGUGAGAGAGAAUAUUGAGAAAAGUACUGAAGGACAGAGAAGGAGAAGCGAAGGAGGAAAGCAAAUCAGCAUUUAUUGAGCAUCUGUUAAACUGUAUGGCAGCUGCUCUACAUUUACUAUCUCAUUUAUUCCUUUCCAUUUCCAAGGUAGCCAAUUUUAGCCUCACUUGAUAGACUGGCUUUGUAGACUCAAAAAGCAGUAAAAAGAACCAGCAUUCAAAACCAGCUUGACUCCAGUUUAUUCUGUGUACUACACCAUUCCUGGAGAGGCUAAGUGUGUGUUACAGAAGACCAUGGGGAGAAUUUAGCUCAAGUAAAGAUAAGCCCUGGGAAAAGACCAUUGGAUUUUUGUGUUUUUUGACUAAGGGGUUCCCAUAACAUAGCAGCACCUGCACUCCUGUCUUAACGCGUCUGUGAAUGUGGGUAAUCCAGACAAAUGUAAACGCCUGUCAAUAAGGGGGGAAAAAGUCAAGAUAGUAAAUGUAAAAAUUAGUAUAAUGAAAACAAACCAGUUAUUAAAUUCUAUCUAGAUACUCUUGCCAACCAAGCACUUCGAAUCUCAAGGCUUGAAUGAAGAAUAGCUUUUUUUUUCUCUGAGACACGGUCUUACUCUGUUGCCCAAGCUGGCGUGCAGUGGCAAGAUCUCAGCUCACUGCAGCCUGGAUUUCCCAUGCUCAGGUGAUUCUCCCACCUCAGCCUCCUUAGCAGCUAGAACUACAAGCGCAGCCACCAUGCCUGGCUAAUUCUGUGUAUUUCUGGUAGAGAUGGGGUUUUGCCAUGUUGCCCAGGCUAGUCUUGAACUCCUGAGCUCAAGCGAGACACCCACCUUGACCUCCCAAAGUGUUGGGAUUACAGACAUUAGCCACCACGCCUGGCCUGUAAACAGGAAUAACUUUCUUGCUGUGUGAUUCAAUGUUAUUUACUGCUUUGUUCAUGUACUGCCUAUGUUGAUUAUCACCAGUGGUAUGGAUCCUGCACAUUGGGAAACACUGCAGUGUUAUUUAAUUUUGUUCACUGUGUUUACAGUGCAGUUUUAGUCACCUGAAAUUCUAAGAGAAAAGAUCAAUAUGGUUUUGCCAAUCAAAGGUCAUUAAUACUUGGAAUGAAAGAUAACUUAUCCUGGUGAUGAACACAUGCCUUUUGAAAAGCAUCAGUAUCUCCUUAAAAUGUAUAAACUACUGUAAUCAAUGAGGAAGACUUUUUCUUAUCAGAUUUAUUAAACUCAUUUACCAUACAAAUAGCAUUAUAACAUUAAAGAAAAUUUUUUAAAAAUUCUGUACCAUAAAACAAUUACUGGUUCCUUCCUACCUGUUUUUAGGUUUGCAGAUGAAUAAUGUGUGGAUUUUUGGCAGACACACUGCUGAAAAUUUUUCACUUUGUUGGGUGAGCAUCUCACCCUAUCUCCAUUUGUCUCCCUGCUCGUGAGUUCUAGAGAAGACCACCAGUAAGCAAGUGAAAUUCUUUGGCCAAGUCACUGAUAUCAGAAUUCCCCAGAGGCACCAAGAACUUUGAUUUCCAGAAAUUGUUUAGGCACAGCCACUCAUUCAACCUUAUAUUUUGUAUCUCAGAGUUAAGGUUGCAUUUGGGCUACCUAGCCUGUAGACUCUAUUUUAAGACAAGCAGGCAUUUAAUAGUUGUUGGUUGGUUGAUUAGAGCUUCUAGCCAAUUUUUAAAAAUUAUUUGAAUAGAUAAGGCAUUCACUGGUUCAAAAAAAAUUUUUUAAUCAUCACUUCCACCCAUCCAGUUAUCACUACUGAAGUAACCUCUACUUUUUGUUUCUUGCAUAUUCUUUCUUUCUUUUUUUUUUUUUUUUUUUUUUUUGAGACAUAGUCUCGAUCUGUCGCCCAGGCUGGGGUGCAGUGGCGUGAUAUUGGGUCACUGCAACCUCCGUCUCCCGAGUUCAAGCAAUUCUCCUGCCUCAGCCUCCCAUGUAGCUGGGACUACAGGCGCGUGCUACCACGCCCGGCUAAUUUUUAUAUUUUUAGUAGAGACGGGGUUUCACCAUGUUGGCCAGGCUGGUCUUGAACUCCUGACCUCAGGUGAUCGCUUGCCUCGGCCUCCCAAAGUGGAGUUACAGGCAUGAAUCACAGUGCCCAGCCUCUUGUAUAUUUUUCCACAUACACAUUUUUUCAUACAUACAUAUGUGAGAAUAAAUGUUCUUAUUCCCCCUCCCCCAUUUUUAUGUAGGAGAAAAUACCGUACAAACCCUUCUGCACAUUGGACUUGAGAUGGCUUUUCCAUCUCAGUGCAAAAAGGCGACAUUUUUUCUUAACCACUGCACAUUAUUUGGUUAUCACCCAGUUUAGGGACAUUGAGUUUCUUUUGUACUCUAGUGCUUGAAUGAUUAUCCUUGGAUGUACAUCUUUCCUUGUAUAUUUAAAUAUGUCUCAUCUCAGUUUCCACAGGUGGAAUUGCUCUGCAAAAAGGCAUAUAUGUAUUUUUAAUUUGCCCUCUAUGUACUAAAUGUUUUCACCCCAGCAUUGCUGAUGGAUUAGAGUGCUGCCAAGUUUUUGGAUUUUUACCUACCAGCUUUUGAAGGGCAGAUUAUUUCAAGUCUUAAUUAAUAUUUUCAGGAACAGUAACAAUAUCAUUUGGUUAAAUUGAGAGAAAUGGGGUUCAGUUGACAGAAUUUGUUCAGGAUAUAGAAUUUUUCUGCUGCUGCUCCUGCAGCUACACACCUACAACUAGUAAAAACAUGGUUGCUUAGGUUGUCAAAUGACCAGCAAACCUGGAGAGGAACCUGGAAUGACUAUAAACAGCUCCACCCACACUUUUUUUGGGCAAAUGUGCAAGCUUAGUAGAAUCUAAAAGGAUACUUCAGCCUUUGUUUGAGUUGCAGAAAAUUAACAUGGUAAGGAGGAAAAAAUCACUAAUUUUUUUAAAAAGUUCCCUGAUACAGGAACUGAAAAUGAUUUUUGACCAACCUGGGCAAUAGAGCAAAAUCCCAUCUCUACAAAAAAAUACAAAAAUUAGUCGGGCAUGGUGGUGCUGCCUGUAGUGACGGCUACUCAUCCUGAGGUGGGAAGAUUGCUUGAGGCCAGGAGGUUGAGGCUGCAGUGAGCCAGGAUCACACCACUGCACCAGCCUGGGCUACAGAGUAAGACUCAAGAAAAAAAAAAGAUGUUUAAUUAAUCUUGCUUCAGUGCUGAGGUGGUACAGGGAGGGAGAAAGGGAUAUUGGGCUAUGAAUUCCAUCUAAACUGGGGAUUUUUAUCAGGGUGUGAAGAAAGAUUUUCAGGAAUAAUUAUCUGAGUUACUUGGAGUAAAAGUAGCAGGAGGAGGAAAAGAGAUAUGGCCUGUGGGUCUCUGACUUGCCAAACUUCUUAUUCAUUUUACAAAUCAUGAUUUCUAGAGCAUCUUAAUCUUUGAGGCCCAGCUGCUUGGAAGUUGCAUAAUCUCUAUACUUCAGUUCCCCCCUAUAAAAUGGGGAAUAUGAUAGAAUCUACCUUGUAUUUGAGAGGACUAAAUAAAUAUAAAGUGCUUAGAAAAGUAAGGACUCAACUACUAGUAAUAAUUAUUUUGACAUGUUUAAGUAAUCAGUACUAUCUGGAAAACUGUGCUAAUAGUGCCUGAUCUACACAAAUUUAAGUGACUAUACCCCUUUUUUGAGUCAGAGUCUCACUACGUUACCCAGGCUGGAGUACAGUGGUACGAUCUCUGCUCAGUGCAGCCUCCGCCUCCUGGGUUCAAGAGAUUCUCCAGCCUCAGCCUCCCAAGUAGCUGGGAUUACAGGCGCCUACCACCACACCUGGCUAAUUUUUGUAUUUUUAGUAGAGAUGGGGUUUUACCAUGUUGGCCAGGCUGGCCUCAAACUCUGGACUUCAAGUGAUCACCUGCCUCAGCCUUCUAAGGUGCUAGGAUUAUAGGCUUGAGCCACUGCAGCCACCACUCUGUAUAUCUCUUUUGAAAGUCAUAAGCAAUAUCUUUGGAAAAAACACUUAAGGUUAUUUAUUUAGAGGUAGUGUCUCUCUGUACCCCAGCUGGAGUACAGUGGCACAGUAUCACAGCUUGCUGCAGCAUCAAAUUCCUAGGCUCAAGCCAUCCUUCCACCGGACAUGUUGGCGUGCACCUCCUGAGUAGCUGGGACUACAGUUGUGCUCUACCACACCGGGCUAAUUUUUGUAUUUUUUAGUAGAGACAGGGUUUUGCCAUGUUAGACAGGCUGGUCUGGAACACCUGACCUCCGGUGAUCUGCCCACCUCAGUCUCCCAAAGGGCUGGGAUUAAAGGCAUGAGCCACCGCACUCAGCCACUUAAGGCUUUUAAAAAAUCAAUUAAUUUCUAAAUGGUUUUGGACUUUUGACUCCUUAUAAGUGUUAAGAUAUUUUGGUAUCACUUUUUUCCUUCCAAAAAAAAAAAAAAAACCAACUAGGUGAUAUCUAUUCCUCAGUCAAAGUUAAUUAAAACUAUUUUGGAUCCCAGCACUUUGGGAAGCCAAAGGCAGGCAGAUCACCUGAGGUCAGGAGUUCAAGACCAGCCUUGCCAACAUGGUGAAACCCUGUCUCUACUAAAAAUACAAAAAUUAGCAGAGCAUGGUGGCAGGCGCCUGUAAUCCCAGCUACUCAGGAGGCUGAGGCAGGAGAAUUGCUUGAACCCGGGAGGCGGAGUUUGCAGUGAGCCAAGAUAGUGCCAUCGCACUCCAGCCUGGACAACAGAGCGAGACUCCAUCUAAAAAAAAAAAAAAAAAAAAAAAAAACUCAGUUUUUGGUUUUGAAAAUGUCAUGAUACCUGUUGAGAUAACUGCUGAAUAGAUGGGUAAUACACAGUCUAGGGCAUGGUAUCAAAAGAACUUGUCACUGUACAUAUCGGAAAUGGUAAAAAUAUGUUUUGCCGUUUUCACGAAUUCAUUCAUUUUUCAUGUUUCAUGAAUUCAUUCUUUUUAAAAAAAAAAAAUCCUGCUAAUUCUCUGUUUCUCUUGCUUUUCUCCUUUAUGACUAAGUUUUCCUCAUUAUGGGUUACCCCACAUUACUGCUUACGAAGACAUCUCUUUAGUCAGAAAACAGUAGCUUGGUUCAGUUCUAGCUUCAUUGUUAAGCUCAUAGGUAAAUCUGGCAAAUGGCUAGAAACAGUCACAUGUUUGCUUGUCCUUAAUGCUCUCACCUUUUCCCAGCUAUUUGGAUGUAUAUACUUUUGCUUACUUUGUAGUGUACCAACUUAAUAUAUGUUAUAGACUAAAUGUUUAUGUCCUCCCAAACUUCAUAUUUUGGAAGCCAGACAUGGUAACUCACACCUGUAAACCUAACACUUUGGGAGGCCUAGGUGGGAGGAUUGCUUGAGUCCGGGAGUUCAGAACCAGCCUGGACAACAUAGUGAGACCCCGUCUCUACAAAAAAAAAAAAAAUUUUUAAUUAGCCAGGUGUGGUGGCAUACACCUGUAGUCCCAGCUACUCAGGAGGCUUGCCUGAGCCCAGAAGUUUGAGACUGCAGUGAGCCAUGAUAUUGCCAGCCUGGGUGACAGAGCAAGACCUUGUCUCAAGAAAAAAAAAAAAAAUUGCCAAUUGCGAUGGCUCACGCCUGUAAUCCCAGCACUAGGAGGCCGAGGUGGGUGAAUCACCUGAGGUCAGGAGUUUUGAGACCAGCCUGGCCAACGUGGCAAAACCCCGUCUCUACUAAAAAUGCAAAAAUUACCGGGACGUGUUGGUGAGCACCUGUAAUCCCUGCUACUCGGGAGGCUGAGGCAAGAGAAUCUCUUGAACCCAGGGGGUGGAGGUUGCACUGAGCCGAGAUCAUGCCAUUGUACUUCACCUGGGCAACAAGAGGGAAACUGUCUCCAAAAAAAAAAAAUUUGGAGGGCUGGGCACGGUGGCUCACACCUGUAAUCCCAGCACUUUGGGAGGCCAAGGCGGUGGAUCACAAAGUCAGGAGUUCAAGACCAGCCUGGCCAACAUAGUGAAACCCUGUCUCUACUAAAAAUACAAAAAUUAGCCAGGCAUGGUGGCACACGCCUGUAGUCCCAGCUACUGGGGAGGCUGAGGCAGGAGAAUUGCUUUGAACCCGGGAGGCAGAGGUUGUGAGCUGAGAUCGCGUCAGUACACUCCAGCCUGGGCAACAAUGCGAGAUUGCAUCUCAAAAAAAUAAAUAAAUAUUUGGAGUCCCAUAAUAAAUAAAUAUUUGGAGUCCAAUGUGAUAGUAUCUGGAGAUGGGGCCUUUGGAGGUAAUAUGGGUUAGAUAGGUCAUGACGGUAGGGCCCUCAUUAUGGGAUUAGUGGCGUUAUAAGAAGAAGAGAGAAAUCUUCCUCCUCAAGAGCAGAGGAAAAGCCAUAUAAGAAUACAGUGAGACGGCCACUUCCAAACCAGAAAGGGAGCCCCCACCAGGAACCAAAUUGGCUGGCACCUUGAUCUUGGACUUCCCAUGCUCCAGAACUGUGAGAAAUAAAUUUCUAUUAUUUAAGCCCAUGGUAGUUUUAUGGCAUCCUAAGCUAAGACAGCGCGUCUCUAGUUUCCCACAGAUUCAUAAAGGUCCAUACAAAAAUGUUAUAACUGUUAAUAGUGUCCUGUCCUUGAAUUUAACAGCAACCAACAUAUUGUUUGCAUAGUUCUUGCACCAUUUGGAAACAGUGACCUUUAGGUGUUGCAGGUAACUAUUGGGAAAUCCUUCAAUUUGUUUAACAUUUCCAUAUUUUGAUUUGCAUCUUGGGAGUUGCUUGGAAUUUGGGAUCCUCUUCUGUCUCUUGAGUUGAAAUCAGAGGCUGCUUGCCGGGCAAGGUGGCUCACGCCUGUAAUCCCAGCACUUUGGGAGGCCCAGGCAGACAGAUCACCAGAUGUCGGGAGUUAGAAACCAGCCUGGCCAACAUGGCAAAACCCCGUCUCUACUAAAAAUACAAAAAUUAGUCGGGCGUGCUGGUGCAUGCCUGUAAUCCUAGCUGCUUGGGUGCUGAGUUAGGAGAAUUGCUUGAAUCCGGGAGGUGGAGGUUGCAGUGAGCCAAGAUCGUGUCACUGCACUCCAGCCGGGGCAACAGAGCAAGACUCUGCCUCAAAAAAAAGAAAAAAGAAAUCAGAGGCUGGGCAUAGUGGCUCAUGCCUAUAAGCCCAGCACUUUGGGAGGCCAAGGCAGGUGGAUCACUUGAGGCCAGGAGUUCAAGACCAGCCUGGGCAACAUGGCAAAAGCCUAUCUCUACUAGAGAUACAAAAGAUUAGCUGGACGUGAUGGUGUGUGCCUGUAAUCCCAGCUACUCAAGAGGCUGAGGCACAAGAGAAUUGCUUGAACACAGGAGGUGGAGGUUGCAGUGAGCCAAGAUCACGCCACUGCACUCCAACCUGGGGCAACAGAGUGAGACUCUGUCUCAAAAAAAAAAAAAAGAAAUCAGAGAUAAUAUAAAUGCAGGUGUAAACUCAUACACUUAAUGGGCUAUAAGUUUUGGAACUGGCUGUGAUAAUAUAACAAAAGUAAUAAUGGGCUGUAAGUGGUAUUAAAUGUGGGAUUAACUGGAUAUUUAAUGAUACCAAGGAAUCAUUAAUUUUGUUUGGCUGUGAUGUUUUAUUAUUAGAAUGAUGUUAUGAUUAAAUUUUAUUUUUGUCUGGAUACAGUGGCUCACACCUGUAAUCCCAGUGCUUUGGGAGGCCGAGGCAGAUGGAUCACUUGAGGCCAGGAGUUCCAGACCAGCCUGGCCAACACGGCGAAACCCCAUCUCUACUAAAAAUACAAAAAAUUAGCCAGGCCUGGUGGUGCACGCUUGUAAUCCCAGGUACUUGGGAGGCUAAGGCAGGAGGAUCACUUGAACCCAGGGGAGGCUGCAGUGAGCUGAGAUCGUGCCACUGCACUCCAGCUUGGGCAACAGAGCAAGACUCCAUCUUAAAAAGAAGAAAGAAAGAACUUCUAUUUUUUAAAUGUUUUUUCCUUUCAUUGAACUCCAUUUAUAGCCUUUCCAUUCAGAGCAUAAAGAUUAAAUUUUAAAACAAGGCUUGGCACCCUGGCUUAUGCCUGUAAUCCCAGCACUUUGUGAGGCCAAGGUGGGCGGAUCACCUGAGCUCAGAAGUUUGAGUCCAGCCUGGCUAACAUGGUGAAACCCCAUCUCUAAAAGAGUACACAGUCCUAGAGCAGUGGUGUGCGCCUGUAGUCCUAGCUACCUGGGAGGCUGAACCAGGAGAAUUGCUUGAGCCUGGGAGGCAGAGGUUGCAGUGAGCCAAGAUCGCACCAUUACACUCCAGCCUGGGUGACAGAGAGAGACCCUGUGCCCCUCAAAAAAAUGUUUUUUUUAAACAAGAAUCUCUCAGGCAUACUGAAAUGUUGAAGAGGAAAUUAUAUUAAUAUCUGGGACUUGUUUCCAAAUUUGGAAUUGGGGCAGGGUGUAAAUUGUUGGCAAUAUCAAAGAAACGAGGAGUUGGAAUGAUAAUUGUAGAAGCUGCAUGAUAGAUACACAUUCUUUAUACUUCUGUAUAUGUUGAAAUUUUUUAUCAAAUUAUAAUUGUGUAUAAUGACUAAUUAUGCUUUCAUUGUCUAUUCUGUGUGGUUAUGUUACUUGCUGAAAUUAAUACAUAAAGAGUCUUCAACUUAAAUGACUUAUCAAGCAUAAAUAUUAAAAUACUGGAUGUUAC
rnacentral:lncRNA from 1 species